rnacentral:rRNA from 1 species
UACGGGGGGGCAAGCGUUGUUCGGAAUUACUGGGCGUAAAGGGCUCGUAGGCGGCCAACUAAGUCGGAUGUGAAAUCCCCAGGCUUAACCUGGGAACUGCAUCCGAUACUGGAUGGCUUGAAUCCGGGAGAGGGAUGCAGAAUUCCAGGUGUAGCGGUGAAAUGCGUAGAUAUCUGGAGGAACACCGGUGGCGAAGGCGGCAUCCUGGACCGACACUGACGCUGAGGCGCGAAAGCUAGGGGAGCAAACAGGG